CGCCUUCCCAGAGCAGAGACCGGGAAGGCGGAGGCCAGGAGCGGGAGGAGAGGAGGGGGCGGCCCAGGAGCGGAGGUCUGAAGCGAGGUCACAUCUGGGCAGGAUCCAAUGAGAGGUAAAGCUAGAAAGGGGGACAGAACUAAAGGGAUGAACCAAGGAAUGGACCGGACACAGAGAGAGAGAGAGCAAUGACCGACCAUAGGAUGGGGACGCCCUUCAGCGAGAGACAAAGACGAUCUCUCUGUGUGACCACAAGGAUGGCGAUUAAAAGGACAGGAGUGAACAGACAGGGAGGAAACAGGAAAAAGGAACAGGCAAGGAGGCAAAAUAAGUAAUUCGUGCACCAGGGCUAGCUAAAGGCUCAGAAAAUCACCAGGCUGUUAGGCUGAGCUGGGAGAGGAGACAGAGCCGUACCCAAGGGUGGACCAUCAGAAAGACACAGGCAGGCAAUUUAAGCAGCUAGCUACUGAGGUAAAAAUGAAAAAAAAGAAAAAUAGAAGAUGGAAAAGGUGAGAACCGGGAGAGGGAAAACCCAGAGGAGACACUGGCCCAGAAACCUUUUUAACUUUCCGUAAGAAUCUUCAAGGCCCCAAACUAGGCCAAGAUUCUGACUGACAUUUCUGAGCUCACCAGCUGCUGUUUCCUUGAGAGAAUUCUGACAGGAAGGCAUAGAAAUGCAAGCCAACACUGCUAGCUCUGGGGAAAAAAAAAUCCACGCUCUUAACACCUCAAUGGGGCUGAAACCCGCCAGGGAAGAAGGCACACGGAGGAGGAGGGACCGGUCCUGCAACUUCUCCCCAGGCUUGGACCAGCGAUGCUCAGGAGGUACCAAGGAGUCCUCACCCUGGAGGCCGCAGUCACCUCCCGCGGGAGCUGCCCCCUGCUCUGGCUGGUCAAACGGAACCAAGUCCGUCUUCCUGAGAGGUUUGGUCCCCUUCAACCAGCUCCAGCAGGGCUGGCAAAGCCCAGUUUUUGGAGAAACAGAAGAGAUUCACCUGUGGCUGAAAUUACCUACUAAUGUUUCUCUUAAGAAGACGACUCUGAUUUUGUUAUCACACCCUCAUGCUCGCAAGAAGCGAGAAAAAGGAGCCUUGGGUUCAAACGGGAGCCAGAUUUCCACACCCAACACCCAGAGCUCUGUGUCUGCACACCCACGACUAGACCCAUGCACGUGCUCUUGACACAGAGUAAAGAUUUUAGGAUGGAAAGGGUUUCAGCCCAGAGCCCCCCAGGAGAAAAGCAUGAGCCCCAGAAGACAGGGCUCCUGCUCACAAGGGGCUACCAGUCUAAAAAAAUUGGAUGUGUGACUAUGGCAGAGUUCAAUGGAAUUGCAAAUCAGAUCAUGGUUAGUUCAAGACAUAAUUCCUUUACCCAGCCCGCUGGGUACCAACAAGGCUCUGCUGACCCAGUCAGCCCAAAGAUAGCUAUCUGCUAAGAAAUACACAUGUGACUCAGUUUCCCAUCUGCAGAAUGGGGCUAAAAAUAAUCCUGGGCCCUGCCACAUACGGUUUUCUGUGGAAUGGAAUGAGAACACAUGUAAAGGAGUCAGAAAGUUCUCAAUGAUUUAUUAUUUACCUGUUAUUAAGGGGAGAAGAUCCUCACCUGCCUUCCAAUUUCUCCUUCAAAAUUUGUAUCUUUCACAGUGUACCUAGGAGUGAGCCCAGGACUUACCUAGUGCUCACUUAACGUUUGUUGUCUGAACUCCGGAAGCCUGUAUGUGUAUGCUGUGCUCUGACACAGAUGUGGUUCGGUGACAUCGAGACCACCAAGUUUCCACACGGGGAGGCACAGGGCUUAUCUGCAUGUGCCUCGGGGUCAGGGAGACCCAGGUUUGAAUCCCACCUCUCUCAUUUAUUAGCUCUGAUAUAUCCUUCCUGAGCCUCAGUUAACACUGUAUAAACCUUAGUUUCCUCAUCUGUAAAAUGGGGACAAGAAUACUGAAAGUUGAUUUAAGGACUUAAAGAGAUCAUGUUUCUAAAGAGCCAUGUAGAAUCCCUCAAGAGAUGGUGGUGUUGGUUUGCUGUUGGACACACAACAACUUAAAGACAAUGUUGUGUCCACAGGCACUCGUGUGGAAGAGAAAGACCAAAAAAAAUUUUUUAAAUAGAAAAACUCAAAAAAUAAAUAAAACCUCAUUACAGGGUAAUUUUAUAUUCCAACUAUUAAUUCUACUCUCAUGUAGCAUACCUUCAUCCUUGUAUGUUACCAGUGUGUAGUAAGUUUCACUAAAAAAUGAAUACUUCAUACAUGAGACUGAUCUUAUCACUUUAAAGAAACAUAUUGCCUGCAAAGGCAUUUGUGAACACUGUCAAGAGGCCACUCUGUAACCACAGGUCCUCCUACGUACACGAAGGCCAUAGUGUGUGUAUUCCAAAGGUGUGGAGUGUAGACAUAGGCACUGCAGUCAGACCACCUGGGCUGAAAUCCCAGAACCCUCACCCCUCAGUAGCUCUGCCCCUUUGGGAAAAUUGCUUGACCUCUCUGGGCCUGGGUUUCCUCAUCUAUAGGAUGCGGAUAUUAAUAAUAGUACCCACCUCAUAGGGUUUUCAUGAGAAUGAAAUGAAAACACAUGUGAAGGUAGAAAACUAGUGCUGGGUGCAUCAUCAACUUUUAAGAGUUUUUAUUUUUGACAGUGUGCCUGAAAUGUUCCUAAAACUAAGCUGGUGUUCAAUAAAAAAUAUAUUUAAUAAAUGA